rnacentral:rRNA from 1 species
AGCAGCCGCGGUAAUUCCAGCUCCAAUAGCGUAUAUUAAAGUUGUUGCAGUUAAAAAGCUCGUAGUUGAACCUUGGCCCUGGCUGGCCGGUCCGCCUCACCGCGAGUACUGGUCCGGCUGGGGCUUUCCUUCUGGGGAACCUCAUGGCCUUCACUGGCUGUGGGGGAACCAGGACUUUUACUGUGAAAAAAUUAGAGUGUUCAAAGCAGGCCUUUGCUCGAAUACAUUAUCAUGGAAUAAUAGAAUAGGACGUGCGGUUCUAUUUUGUUGGUUUCUAGGACCGCCGUAAUGAUUAAUAGGGAUAGUCGGGGGCGUCAGUAUUCAGCUGUCAGAGGUGAAAUUCUUGGAUUUGCUGAAGACUAACUACUGCGAAAGCAUUCGCCAAGGAUGUUUUCAUUAAUCAGGGAACGAAAGUUAGGGGAUCGAAGACGAUCAGAUACCGUCGUAGUCUUAACCAUAAACUAUGCCGACUAGGGAUCGGAUGAUGUUAAUUUUAUAAUGACUCA